AAACAACCCCCUAUGUAUUGGAUCUUUGACAGUUUUGACCCCCAAGACCACUUUUGACUUAGUCUUCGCUAACGUGGCACCCACAAUGGUCGACACGUGGCACCUAAGGGAUGUGGGUGCCACAUCAGAGAAGACUAACUCAAAAGUGGUCUUGGGGUCAAAACUGUCAAAGAUCCAAAACAUAGGGGGUUGUUU
rfam:Medicago truncatula strain A17 chromosome 3, whole genome shotgun sequence.